rnacentral:rRNA from 1 species
UACAUCGGAACGUGUCCCGUAGUGGGGGAUAGCCCGGCGAAAGCCGGAUUAAUACCGCAUAUGCUCUACGGAGGAAAGUGGGGGACUCGCAAGGGCCUCACGCUAUGGGAGCGGCCGAUGUCCGAUUAGCUUGUUGGCGGGGUAAUGGCCCACCAAGGCGACGAUCGGUAGCUGGUCUGAGAGGAUGAUCAGCCACACUGGGACUGAGACACGGUCCAG